UUCUCUGCCAAGAAUGCUGAAUCUUGUCUUUCAUAUUUGAACAAGGAUGAUGCAGCAAGAAGGCUCUCACCAGAUGUCAACACCUUACCAUUGGACUUCCCAGGCUCCAGAACUGUCUGAAAUUAGGUUUUUCAACAGAAUCCAAGUCUAAUUAUAGAUCAUACCUGUUUUACUGAAUUACAUUUUUUCUCAUGCUAAAGCAUAUUUCUAACAACAACGUAACAAUUUUAACAUACCCCCUAACAUGGAAUACAAAUGACGCACUAAAUAAAUGAACUUCAAAUAAUCAAUUAAAGGCUAUGUGGACUACAAGAUCAUUCCAUCCUGUUUCACGUGAGCCAAAACAGAUUUGUUAGCUGCAAGCUCAAAUAAAGUGAUCUCAAAUGAGAGUUAUGUCAGUAAAAACUGCCUCUUAACAGGUCAGCAGUGACUUUACUCACUUAAAUUUUACAAAAUAUUUUGAAGAUUUAAAAGAUUAAAUGUCCUGAAAGGGACAACAGCCCAGCACUUUUUGCAAACACAGCUGUUGGUUAAAGCUCUUGAGAAAAGAAAAACUCUGGAAGAAAAAUCAGUUGUAGGAAGAGAUAAUGGUUAUAAAAUAUUAAGCAAAUUUUGGAAUCUUCAUUAAUCUAAUAGCUGACUUGUUCUAAACCUUUGCCUCCUUACUGUAUGCUAGGCUUGCUUCAGGCCCUGGGCAUAGAGCAAUAACCAUGACACACCAGGUCCCUACUCUCAUGGUGCUUACAAUCUACGGGGAGGAGACACACAUUAAGCAAGUACACAGGCAACCAAACAGCGAGGAGGCAGUGGCCAACAGGGUGGGAAAAUGGACACUACUUUAGUUUCAGUCAUCAGCAAAGCCUUUACUGAGGAAAUAAUGCUGGCACUAAGGCCGCCAUGUGGAGGUCACAGACUAGAGUCACCUAGACAGACAGUAUGACAAAUACAAAGACAGAAAAAGAGAAACAAUCUCAGCAUGUUCAAAGAACUUUAAAAUAAAAAGCCUCCAUAGUCUAUGUAUCGUAGUAAAGAAUCAGUUUUAUAUUAGGUGUGAUAACAGCAUUUUGACUACAUGUGAAAAUGUUCAGAUUGUACAUAAAUAAUGUCAGGAUUCCUUUCAAAUAUUUCAGCAAAAGAAAGAUAAACAUGACAUAUGUACAAAAAGUAUUAAAUUUGGGUUAUGCAGUAUUCUCUCAAUGCACUAUUCUCUCUACUUUUGUAUGAUUGAAAUUUUUCAUACUUUUUUUAAAACUCCACAUAAUAGAGGCUUCACGUUAAAACUGACAAUACCUCAUAUACUCUUUCUCUUACUUUUAUACCCCAGCUCAGCUCUUACCUAUUCAGUUCUUCCUUCUGAUGACCUCACCUGAGAUAUACACAAAAGCUUUAAGGAUAAGUAUAUAUAGGAUAGGUCCUACACUCUAUGACUGAAUCCAGUUUCUAUGAAAGAUACAGCUAAUCUAUCUAAGGCAAGAGUGGAAGCUAGACAGUAUUAAAAUAAGAGAGCAUAAAAUAAACAACCACAUACUGAUAAAAAAGAAGUCACUCUUCCUGAGAAAAACAGGAACUGCCUGGACCAAAGACCAUCUUCCCAAUUCCACGGGAUUUCUCUGGCAAAGACAUCCUAAUUGUGAAAUCCCACUGUCAAUUUUCAGUCUUGAUCUUACUUGACCUUGCUGUAGUACUUGACACAGUCGAACACUCCCUUCCUGCUUGAACCUCUUCUUGCUCGGCAGAUGUGAGAGCACUGAUGCCUGCGCUUCUUCCUUUUAAGGACAGGUGCCCCUCCCGAGAGACAGAAGAAACUUUUGUCCCAAGUGACCAAUUUUGAAGAAGCCAGGAGUGAGUCCCUCCUGGGACCCAAUAAUCUAUACUUUAUUGAAUGGUUUGGAAACUGUGUGUCAGAAUCUUCUAUUUCAAGUAACAUAGUGGAGUCAAUAUCUGAAAAACCUGCUGAUACUGAAUUCCUAUAACUGCUAAACAAAGUAUUAGCAGUUUCUUUUUAAAUGCACAGUUGAGUUCUCAAGAAAGAAAAGAAAAUCCCCAGGAGCUAAAAAUCAAGUAGGAGCUAAACAACAGAAAAAGUAGAAACUGAGGCUACAGAGAUCCUGGGAGCACCUUCUGGUGCUAGCAUCAAGAGCGGUUUAAAGCUGCAGAGGCACAGAAGAUGCUACGGCCUGAUGAUACAAGACGUAGAGAGGUGGAAGUGAGCCCCUUGAAAAAAAACUAAAACCCUUGAAGGAGGACAAUCUCAGUGAGAUAAUAGGCUGGAAAAAAUAUACCUGCUGGUGAAGGGAAAAAAAAUCACACAUCUCUUUGACCUAGGCUCCAUAGGAGAGUCUCCUCUGAACAUUCAGAACCCAAUAUUGCAGUCAUACAGUAAAGUCCAGCUAACUAACCCCAAGUAUAGAAAUGAAUUUAAAGUGAUCCUAGGUUGGUAGCACCCAUGGCUGAACCAAAAAACCCUCUCAGAACUAUUUACUUCAGAAUACGCCUACAGUCUAAAUCCUGCUAAAUCCUUACAAAACAAAUAAGGAAAGAGCCAUUAUGAUUGAGUCCAAGAAAAAAAAUAGCAAAGUGUAGUACAAUAUCAGUACAGGUCUUAAAAAAAAAAAAGACAAAUAUAGAAUAUUUUUAAACUAUAUAUAUAGCCGGACGCGGUGGCUCAUGCCUGUAAUCCCAGCACUUUGGGAGGCCAAGGCGGGUGGAUCCUGAGGUCAAGAGAUUGAGACCAUCCUGGUCAACAUGGUGAAACCCCGUCUCUACUAAAAAUACAAAAAAAUUAGCUGGGCAUGGUGGUGCGUGCCUGUAAUCCCAGCUACUCAGGAGGCUGAGGCAGGAGAAUUGCCUGAACCCAGGAGGCGGAGGUUGCGGUGAGC